GAUAAAAAGCCAGUUCAUGCUUUUACAGUAUGAAAAUUGGUGAUUUAUAAUAACUUAGCAAAUCGCAAAGUGAAAACAGGCGAUAAAUCAUUCAAGUUUCUGACCUAUCAGCUUUCGACGGUAUGGUAUUGGCUUACCGUGGCAGUGACGGUUAACGGGGGAUUAGGGUUCGAUUCCGGAGAGGGAGCCUGAGAAACGGCUACCACAUCUAAGGAAGGCAGCAGGCGCGCAAAUUACCCAAUUCUAACAGUUUGAGAGAGGUAGUAACAAGAAAUAACAAUACAAGGCAGUUAAAAUGCUUUGUAAUUGGAAUGAUAGAAAUUUAAACCCUUUUUAAAGUAUCAAUUGGAGGGCAAGUCUGGUGCCAGCAGCCGCGGUAAUUCCAGCUCCAAUAGCGUAUAUUAAAAUUGUUGCAGUUAAAAAGCUCGUAGUUGAAGUUCUGCUGAAAGUAACCGGUCUGCUUUUAAUAAAAGUGGUAUCUUGGUAUGUAUUUAGCAAUGAUGUCCUUUGAAGUGUUUUUUACUUUAUUGUAAUAAAGCAUAUUCAGGACUUUUACUUUGAGAAAAUUAGAGUGUUUCUAGCAGGCUGACGCUUUGAAUACUGCAGCAUGGGAAUAA
rnacentral:rRNA from 1 species